GCCAUUUUUCAUAUUGGAUUCUGUAUUGAAUGAUGUUAUUGGAAAUUGUCUGACUUAUUUCGAGAAACUAUUAGUAACAAUUAAUUUUGGAUCGCUUGAAAUAUUGUCUACACCUGAAUAAAUUAUUGGUGCCUUAGAUUUUUGGUUUAUUUUGGAGAUUUAUGGUAUUUUGGGCCAAUAAAAUCGAUAUUCUUAUCGGAUUAAUCAUGAUACCAUUUUCUAAUACCUUUUACUCGAGGAUAACAUCUAAUCAAGUAAUUGAUCUUCGAACCUACCAUCUAUUAAAGCUGCAGAUAUUUCAGAAGUUAGAAAUCUGAUGCACAUAACAAGAGAACAAGAAGGAUCUUUCAUUUUUGAUUUUUGACCUUUGACAUGACAUCUUUCAUAUUUCAUCUUCAAUCUAUCAAGAUCUGCCACGGAUAUAUCCUGAUCAUUCCUGUAUUUAUUCAUCUCUCUGGACCUCCGAAGGAUUCAUUCAUCUUUAUUUUUCUUACUACCUUUUGGAAAGAGUUCAGAUGCACCAAUAAAGUGUACCAUCAGCUGAUUGAAACGUUACACUGGAAUUUAUUAUUAUUUUAACAGUCUAUUAUCCAAGACUGUGUAAGAAUUCAUGUCGAUACGUUGUAAUCAGACUCUACAAUAGGCUUCCUGCAGACCUGAGGUCUAGGGAAAACACCAGUAAAAAUGAUAUGAGGAAGGUCCUUGAAGAGAAUUCGUUUUAUACUAUUACAGAAUUUUCAACUCACAAAUUUGUAAUUUUUAUUGUAUGAAUGUAAAGAUAUUUUUAUGUUUGAAAACGUUCCUUGUUAAUUUUGAAGGAUAAUAAACUACUAUGACUAUGA